rnacentral:rRNA from 1 species
AUUGAACGCUAGCGGGAUGCUUUACACAUGCAAGUCGAACGAGUGGCGGACGGGUGAGUAAUAUAUCGGAACGUGCCCAGUAGCGGGGGAUAACUACUCGAAAGAGUGGCUAAUACCGCAUACCAUCGGAUGGGCCCAUAUGGGAUUAGCUAGUUGGUGGGGUAAAGGCUCACCAAGGCAACGAUCCGUAGCUGGUCUGAGAGGACGACCAGCCACACUGGGACUGAGACACGGCCCAGACUCCUACGGGAGGCAGCAGUGGGGAAUUUUGGACAAUGGGGGAAACCCUGAUGCAGCCAUGCCGCGUGUAUGAGAAGGCCUUCGGGUUGUAAAGUACUUUUGGCAGGGAAGCGGUAUCUGCAGAAUAAGCACCGGCUAACUACGUGCCAGCAGCCGCGGUAAUUC